rnacentral:rRNA from 1 species
AAUUCGCCCUUAGAGUUUGAUCCUGGCUCAGAUUGAACGCUGGCGGCAUGCCUAACACAUGCAAGUCGAACGGUAACAGGCGGAAGCUUGCUUCUGCGCUGACGAGUGGCGGACGGGUGAGUAACGCGUAGGAAUCUGCCCGGUAGUGGGGGACAACCUGGGGAAACCCAGGCUAAUACCGCAUACGCCCUACGGGGGAAAGGUGGCCUCUCCUUGGAAGCUACCGCUAUCGGAUGAGCCUGCGUCGGAUUAGCUAGUUGGUGAGGUAAUGGCUCACCAAGGCGACGAUCCGUAGCUGGUCUGAGAGGACGAUCAGCCACACUGGGACUGAGACACGGCCCAGACUCCUACGGGAGGCAGCAGUGGGGAAUAUUGGACAAUGGGGGCAACCCUGAUCCAGCAAUGCCGCGUGUGUGAAGAAGGCCUGCGGGUUGUAAAGCACUUUCAGUAGGGAAGAAAAGCUCAAGGCCAAUACCCUUGAGUCUGACGUAC